GACGAACGCUGGCGGCGUGCUUAACACAUGCAAGUCGAACGAAGUGGCGAACGGGUGAGUAACGCGUAAUCAACCUGCCCUUCAGUGGGGGACAACAGUUGGAAACGACUGCUAAUACCGCCUACGGUAGGAGGGGAUUGCGUCGGAUUAGCUGGUUGGAGGGGUAACGGCCCACAAAGGCGAUGUUCAGUAGCCGGUCUGAGAGGAUGAACGGCCACAUUGGGACUGAGACACGGCCCAGACUCCUACGGGAGGCAGCAGUGGGGAAUCUUCCGAAAUGGACGAAAGUCUGACGGAGCAACGCCGCGUGAGGGAUGACGGCCUUCGGGUUGUAAAGCUCUGUUAAUCGGGACGCGGUACCGGAAUAGAAAGCCACGGCUAACUACGUGCCAGCCGCCGCGGUAAUAC
rnacentral:rRNA from 1 species